ensembl:lncRNA
GUUAGGGUUAGGGUAGGGUUAGGGUUAGGGUUAGGGUUAGGUUUAGGUUUAGGGUUAGGGUUAGGGUUAGGUUUAGGGUUAGGGUUAGGGUUAUGUUUUGCUUUAGGAUUAGGGUUAGUUUAGUGUUAGGAUUAGGUUUCAGGUUAGGAUUAGGGUAAGGUUAGGGUAAGGGUUACGUUUAGGGUUAGGGUUGUGGUUCGUACUGUAUAGGAUUGGGGUUAGAGUAUGGGUGUGGGUAGGGUUAGGGUUAGGGUUAUUGUUAGGGUUGGGUUACGGUCAGGGCUAUACUUAAGGUUAGGGUUAGGGUUAUUGUAUGGGUUAGGGCUGUAGUAUGGGUUAGGGGUAGGGCUAGUGUUAGGUUUUGGGUUAGGGUUAGAGUUAUGUUUAGGCUUAGGCGUCGGGUUAGGCUUAGGCUUCGGGUUCGUGUUACAAUUAGGGUUCGUGUUAGGGGUAGUAUAGCCGUUAUGUUUUGUAUUAGGGUUAGUGUUUGGGUAAGGGUUAGGGCAGGAUUAAAUUUAAGGUUAGGGUUAGGUUUAGGCUUUGGUUUAGGUUUUGUGUUUGGGAUCAGGUAGGGGUAGGGGUAGGAUUAGGGUUAGGUUUAGCGUUUGGGUUAGGGUUAGUGUUUGGUUUAGGUUUUAGUUUAGGAUUAGGGUUACGGUUUGACUUAGGCUUCAGCUUAGCCUUGGGGUUCGGAUUAAGGUUAGUUUAAGGUCUGGGGUUAGGUCUAGGCUUAUGGUUCGGUAUAGGGUUGGGUUUAGAGUUAGGGUUAGUGUUAGGGGGUGUAUUGUUUGGUUAGGGUUAGGGUUAGGGUUAGGUUCAGGUUUUUUGUUAGGUUUUGGGUUAGGGUUAGCGUUUAGCUUACUGUUAGGGUUAGGUUUAGGGUUAUAUUUAGCAUUUGUGUUAGGGUUAUCUUAAGAUUAGGAUUAGGGAUAGCAUAGGGUAGGUUUAGGGAUUGUCAUAGGUUUCUUGUUAGGGUGAGAUUCAUUGUGAGCAUUAGGGUAAGGGUUAGGAUUACAAUUAGGGUUAGGGUUAAGGAUAGGGUUAGCAUUUGGGUCAGGGUUAGGUUCUGGGUUUUGUUAGGGUUAGGGUUAUGGUUAGGGUUAGGGUUAGGGUCAGGGUCAGGAUCAGGGUCAGGGUUAGGGUUAAGUUUAGGGUUAGGUUUAGGGUUAGGUUUAGGGUUAGUGCUUGAGUUAGGGCUUGGGUUAGUGCUUAGUGUUAGUGUUAGGGUUAGGGCUAGGGUUAGGGUUAGGGUAAGGGAAGAGUUAGGAUUAGGGGUAGGGUAAGAGAUUUGGUUAGGGUUAGGGUUAGCUUUAAUUUUAGGGUUACGUUUAGGGUUAUGGUUACGGUAGGGUUCGGGUUCAGGUUAGGGUUAGGAUUAUGGUUAGGCUGAAGGUUAGUGUUAGGGAUAGGUUUAGCGUUAUGAUUCGUGUAGGGUAGGAUUGGGAUUAGAGUUUCUGUUUACGUAGGGUUAGGGUUUUGUCUGGGUUAGGGUUACGGUCAGGGCUAUAAUUAAGGUUAGGAUUAUGGCUAUGGUAACCUUACCCUAACCCUAACCCUAACCCUAACCCUAA